rnacentral:lncRNA from 1 species
AGCAGAUGAAAGAAAUCCUCCCUCAUCCUUACCCAUGCAAGAAGUUCAAGCGGAUGGGAGCAAGACAAUUAAUUCAAGCAGCUCCAACGAUGAUUCAGGCUCUUCAUCAAGUGUUACUUUGAUUAAUUAUUUAGUCAAGAGAUAUCUUGACCAUUAUUAUUCUUGAUACUGCAUGCUCAUUUUUCGUUUUGGUCAAGUGUUCUGUCUGAUUUUUAUUUAUUUUACUCUUGCAGAUUUGGAUACUGGUAGUUCCUCAGCCUCUGGGUCUAAUGUUGGGUAAUAGAGAACCUAAAUUCAUUUUUGUCAGGUAGAAUCACAACUUCCAAAUAUUUAUUUCACUAUAUGCUCUGCUUUGUACUCCCAUCUUUUCAUUUUGUAGAGUGACAUAUGUAUCUUUCAAUAUGAUUUUUCUCGUAACUAUCAUGAUUGUUUAACUCAUGACUCUUACUGGUUUACCAUAAAUGUUUUUUCAAUUGAAUUCAUCCUGGAUGCUCCAUGUUUGUUAUUGAUUUUUACUGUUUACUUUUCUAUUCAAGCUUAAUAUUUUUGCAAUUUGAAAACUUAAGUCGAUCUUGUUAUAGGUUUAAUAUUUGUGAUUUAAAUUUUAACACUGGUAGGUAUCUCUUUCUGCCUUCUUUUACCAUGUGGAUGUCUUGUUUCAUUCAUUUUAAUGUGAUUUUCAUAAGAUUAAAUGAUUGGAGAAAUGAGAUGC